GGACGGAGCGUAGGAGAGACCGAAAAGGCUGGGGGUGGGAGUAGCGGAUUUGAAGCACUUGUUGGCCUACAGAGGUGUGGCAAGCAGAGCACCUCAGAACUCAGGCGUACUGCCCGCCGCCCGAGCCCUGCGAGGGCCGAUAGCGAGGGUGUGGCCCUUAUCUGCACCCAGCAGAGCGCCGGCGGGGUACGGUCUUAGGACCUCGAUCUCCUUCUCCCUCAUUUUCUCUCAUCCCUACCUAUUGUGGGUUUCCGCAUGGGCCGGACCGUGGUCGUGCUGGGCGGAGGCAUCAGCGGCUUGGCCGCCAGUUACCACCUGAGCCGGGCCCCCUGCCCCCCUAAGGUGGUCCUAGUGGAGAGCAGUGAGCGUCUGGGAGGCUGGAUUCGCUCCGUUCGAGGCCCUAAUGGUGCUAUCUUUGAGCUUGGACCUCGGGGAAUUAGGCCAGCGGGAGCCCUAGGGGCCCGGACCUUGCUCCUGGGCAUGUGGAGAGCAGGUUUCUGAGCUUGGCUUGGAUUCAGAAGUGCUGCCUGUCCGGGGAGACCACCCAGCUGCCCAGAACAGGUUCCUCUACGUGGGCGGUGCCCUGCAUGCCCUACCCACUGGCCUCAGGGGGCUACUCCGCCCUUCACCCCCCUUCUCCAAA
rnacentral:lncRNA from 1 species